UGGAGUGAGUGGCGAACGGGUGAGUAACACGUGAGUAACCUGCCCCCUUCUUUGGGAUAACGCCCGGAAACGGGUGCUAAUACUGGAUAUUCACUGGCCUUCGCAUGGGGGUUGGUGGAAAGGUUUUUUCUGGUGGGGGAUGGGCUCGCGGCCUAUCAGCUUGUUGGUGGGGUGAUGGCCUACCAAGGCUUUGACGGGUAGCCGGCCUGAGAGGGUGACCGGUCACAUUGGGACUGAGAUACGGCCCAG
rnacentral:rRNA from 1 species